rnacentral:misc_RNA from 1 species
GUUCUAACAUAAUCAGUUAUGAUUGCGUUUCUCUGGAGAAGAACACUACAAAUGCCAGUUCCUACUUGUGUGUUUUCACUGCUAAACUCCACAAUCCAACUUGGUUGUAUUCAAAAUGGCUUAUUAUUCACUGCUAGAUCUCUGUCAACAUCUUUGAAACCUGUGGACCAUGAACAUAAGAAAUACUCUUAUACAGUUUCUUAUCUUGCACACUCAUUUGGGUUUUCCCUGGAAUCUGCAGAAUCUAUAUCUAAGAAAGUAAAAUUUGAAUCCCCUGAUAA